UACGUAGGGACCAAGCGUUGUUCGGAUUUACUGGGCGUAAAGGGCGCGUAGGCGGCGCGGUAAGUCACUUGUGAAAUCUCUAAGCUUAACUCAGAACGGCCAAGUGAUACUGCAGUGCUAGAGUGUGGAAGGGGCAAUCGGAAUUCUUGGUGUAGCGGUGAAAUGCGUAGAUAUCAAGAGGAACACCUGAGGUGAAGACGGGUUGCUGGGCCAACGCUGACGCUGAUGCGCGAAAGCCAGGGGAGCAAACGGG
rnacentral:rRNA from 1 species